rnacentral:rRNA from 1 species
AUUGAACGCUGGCGGCAUGCUUUACACAUGCAAGUCGAACGGUAACAGGCCUUCGGGUGCUGACGAGUGGCGAACGGGUGAGUAAUGCAUCGGAACGUGCCCAGAGGUGGGGGAUAACGCAGCGAAAGCUGUGCUAAUACCGCAUGUGAUCUGAGGAUGAAAGCGGGGGACCAGGCAGCAAUGUUUGGCCUCGCGCCUUUGGAGCGGCCGAUGUCAGAUUAGGUAGUUGGUGGGGUAAAGGCCUACCAAGCCGACGAUCUGUAGCUGGUCUGAGAGGACGACCAGCCACACUGGGACUGAGACACGGCCCAGACUCCUACGGGAGGCAGCAGUGGGGAAUUUUGGACAAUGGGCGCAAGCCUGAUCCAGCAAUGCCGCGUGCGGGAAGAAGGCCUUCGGGUUGUAAACCGCUUUUGUACGGAACGAAAAGGCUCUGGCUAAUACCUGGGGCUGAUGACGGUACCGUAAGAAUAAGCACCGGCUAACUACGCG